GCGAUUCGACAUGAUCUGAUUUUGUUUAAUGUCUUGUUUUUUUUAUUUGUGUUAAUUUUUAUUUAUUGAAGAAUCAUUUUGGUUUUUGUAUGUAUUAAGAUAAAAUUAUUUUUACGAUAGUUUAUUUGUACUGUGAGGGGUUUAAAUCAAUUAAUUUAUAAUGCUUUUUAAAGUUAAUUUUAUUUGUUGUACCUUGUGUAUCAGGGUUUAUUGAAUUAUAUUAUUUAUUUUUAUUUCCCGAUUUUAAAGUAGUUAAUAAUUUAUUUUAGUUACUGUUUUAUUAGUAUUAAUAAUAGGUUAUUGGUAGUGAAAUUCUAUUCGUCUUUAGUGGUUUCUGGUUUUUCAAGAAAUGAAUUUAAUUCAUAUAUCAUGUUUAAUUUAUAUAAUUUUUAUAUUUAUUUUUAUUUGAUAUUAAGAUAAAGGGGGAUUAGCUCCUUUUUUUAUUUUUAUAAUUUUAUAGGUGAUGUAGUUUUGUGGAUUUUAUAGUGAUUUUCAAUUGGAUUAUGUUAAAAUUUUAUUUGGUUUAUUUUAUAUUUUUUAAAAUUUAAUUUGUUUAUUGGAAUGUUUUUUAUAUUUUUAUAUAAUUAGUAAUUAUUGUAUAAUUAGUAAAUUUAUUUAUGUAUUUUGUGUUUUUGGUGUUAAUUUCUUUUUAGGAAUUCGGCAAAUAUUGUGUCCGCCUGUUUAACAAAAACAUCUUUUCUUGUUAGUUUUUGAAGUAUAGCCUGCCCACUGACUAUGAGUUGAAGGGCCGCGGUAUUUUGACCGUGCAAAGGUAGCAUAAUCAUUAGUUCUUUAAUUGUGAUCUGGUAUGAAUGGCUUGACGAGACAUAAGCUGUCUUAGAAGUAUUGUUUAAUUGAAUUUAGUGUUUGAGUUAAAAUACUUAAAUGUUUUUGUGGGACGAGAAGACCCUAUAGAGUUUAACAUUGUUUUAUUUUACUGUUGUUUGUAUUAUUUGUUUUAAUUAGGUAAUGUUUUGUUGGGGUGAUGAGAGAAAUAAUUUAACUUCUCUUUAUUUUUUUAUAUUUAUUUAUAUGUUAUUGAUCCAUUUAUUUUGAUUAUAAGAUUAAAUUACCUUAGGGAUAACAGCGUUAUCUCCCUUGAGAGUUCUUAUUGGCAGGGGGGUUUGCGACCUCGAUGUUGGAUUAAGAUGAAUUUUCGGUGCAGAAGCUGAAUUUAAUUAGGUCUGUUCGACCUUUAAAAUCUUACAUGAUCUGAGUUCAGACCGGCGUGAGCCAGGUUGGUUUCUAUCUACUUAUUUUUAGUUAUAUCUUAGUACGAGAGGACCGGAUAUUUGAAAUAAUUUUAGUUAAGUGAUUAUUAUUAAUUUUACUAUUUUGGCAGAUAAGUGCAUUGGAUUUAGAAUCUAUUAA
rnacentral:rRNA from 1 species